rnacentral:rRNA from 1 species
UACAGAGGGUGCGAGCGUUAAUCAGAAUUACUGGGCGUAAAGCGUGCGUAGACGGCUAUCUAAGUCGGGUGUGAAAGCCCCGGGCUCAACCUGGGAAUUGCAUUCGAGACUGAAUAGCUAGGGUACGGUAGAGGGAAGUGGAAUUUCCGGUGUAGCGGUGAAAUGCGUAGAUAUCGGAAGGAACAUCAGUGGCGAAAGCGACUUCCUGGACCAGUACCGACGUUCAGGCACGAAAGCGUGGGGAGCAAACAGG